AGGACAUCGUAGGAAGGAGCAGCGACCGCCGGCUCAUCGCUCUCGCUCAGGUGAAUCGCUCUCACAUUAUUUAACGUUAGAAAGUUCUCGAGUUUCCCGAUCGCUCUACAUUAGCGAAUAUUAUAUCGACUAGAAUAUUCGAUAACAAAAACACAACAACCGAAAUAGCAGGUGAUACCGCUCAGUUGUGUUUACUUUUUAGCGGGCGCUUGGCGGAUACGGCAGGAGGACGAGACCGUCCCGAUGAUCCCAGCAUGAAAAACUGAAGCGCCGAUGGAGACCGCGAACCGAUCCCCGACGGCAACAGUGCCUCGAGACAAGUAACGUUUCGAGACAAGCCUACCGAAAAUUGUCGAUUCCCGAGUGCCGAAUAUCUCUAGACGAGAAGGGAAGCGACGAAGGAGGACCGGCGAGGAUACGCGGUCCUCAGAAAGCAGAUGGAUCAGCAGCCUUUCCCCGACCGUCGCUACGGACACACGAUUAUACUGCCGUGAGACAGCGAUAGUGCGAUUGAGACGGAGAGAGAGAGAGAGAGUGAGAAAGAGAGCGAAAGGGAGAGAAAGAGCGAGCGGGUGAACGAGAGAGGAAUACCGCGGAGAGUGACCCGGAGCACCGUCACCGCCGCCGCCGAAGCCAUCCAUAAGGAAAGCCGUUGCAAAUUGUUACCAGCAUAAUAAUGAGUGUACUUACGAGUGUAGUUUUGAUAACCUUAAUAUGUAUGGGUAUAAUUUAUUUAAUCCCGAAGUAUCGGAAGCGGUUACGAUUCGUUCAAAUGGCAAAUGCAUUACCAGGUCCAAAAACGCAACCGAUUAUUGGAAACGCCUACUACCUUCUCCAAAGAAGUUUUGACGAAUUCUUGAACAGUAUAUCUUUGCUCACGGAUACUUACCCGUCUCCAUUUCGAUUUUGGUUGGCCAAUAAACUAGUUAUUUGUGUAAGCGAACCAGACCAAAUAAAAACUAUUUUUCAAAGUCCUAACUGCAUAAAUAAAAGCAUAGGAUAUGAAUUGAUCAAACCGAUCCUAGGAAAUGGGCUUCUUACUGCUCCUGCACAUAUAUGGGCUCAACGUCGAAAAAUGCUAACGUCAAGCUUUAAUACAAACGUAUUACGAACAACCUGCGAUACAUUUGUGAAACAUGUUUCAGUAUUUAUGGGGAAAAUAGAAUAUAUGUUAAAUGACGAAGUAGAUUUAUUACAUCAUAUAGCAAAUUGUACGCUGGACAUGAUUUUCGAUGUUGCGUUGAAUUUCGAUUUGGGAUCACAAUUAAAGGAAACUGUGCAGUAUGCUAAUACUAUUGCGAGAGUGACAGACAUAGUCACGCACAGAUUGCGAAAUAUAUUUUUACACCCUGAUAUUAUAUUUAAUUUUACAUCUCUAAGGCGCGAACAACAGAGACUUUUAAAUAUUAUACAUUCUACUGCGGAAGAGGUAAUACAACAAAGGGAAAAUGCGAGAAAUAAUUUAGUUGAAAAUAAAAACCAAUCCGCUAAGCCUUCAAGAAAGAUAUAUCUUGAUAUACUAAUGGAAGCAUCUGACGACGGCAAGAAAUUAACUCGAAAAGAGAUUAUAGAUGAAAUCACUACGAUAAAUUGUACCGGUUUCGACACAGUCGCAAAUACAUUAAAUUUUCUGAUGUUCAUGUUAGCAAAUUUCCAAGAAGUACAACGAAAAGUAUACGAGGAGUUGCUAGAAAUUUAUGGCAUGCAAGAUCCAAAAUCCGCGCCCGUCAAAUUUGAAGAUUUGCAGCAUAUGAACUAUAUGGAGUGUGUUAUUAAGGAAACAAUGAGACUUUUCCCCGUUGGGUCUAUAUUAGGACGGCAACUUAAUGCAGAUUUACAAAUAGGAGAAUAUACUUUACCGAAAGGCGCUGAAGUUUUAAUAGCAGUAUUAGACAUGCAUCGCAAUGAAAAGUAUUGGCCCAAAGCAUUAACAUUCGAUCCAGAUAGAUUUCUUCCGGAGAACAUGGCAAAUAUUCAUCCAAAUAGUUAUAUACCGUUUAGUUACGGUCCAAGGAACUGUUUAGGUAUGAAGUAUGCAAUGGUUUCCAUGAAAGCCUUCACAGCAACAUUAUUGCGGACAUUUAUAUUAAAAGUCAAUAAGAGGGUUAAAAUAGAAGAAAUAAAAGUGAAAGUAACUACUGUGUUAACGCCCGUCAAUUCUUUGAAAGUCAGAAUUGAAAAGAGGAUAUGACAAUAUAACAUUAUCACAAUAUACUAACAGAGGAAAUGGAUUUCCUUAUUAAUAUAAUUAGUGUAUGCGGUAACUGCUGAGUGAUGAGCGUAGCAUCUUAUUAUUACGUAGAUUCUCUCCAACUGCUGCUUCAAAAACUGAUUUUCUGCCAACAUCAACAAAAGGCUCUCUUCUGUAAUUGGCUCAAUAUUUUUUUCUGCAUCUAUAGAGCUCUGAAAUGAAUUAAAGUAUACAUAUUUAUACUAUGUAUUUAUACAUGUUUAUGUGUAAAUAAAAAAAUAAACAUAUAAAUAUAGAA